UUUUUUUUUUUGUUCCCCCUUUUGAGACAAAGUUUCGCUUUUUUGCCUGGGCUGGAGUGCAAAGGCACAAUCUCGGCUCACUGCAACCCCUGCCUCCAGGUUCAAGCAAUUCCCCUGCCUAAACCUCCUGAGCAGCUGGGACUACAGGCGCCUGCCACCCUACACCUGGCUAAUUUUUGUAUUUUUAGUGGAAAUGGGUUUUUGCCAUGUUGAUUAGACUGAUCUCUAACUCCUGACCUCAGGUGAUCUGCCUGCCUCGGCCUCCCAAAGUGCUGGGAUUACAGGUGUGCGCCAACACCCCUAGCCCACAAAUUUCUUUCUUUUCUUCUCUUUUCUUUUUUUCUUUUUUUUUUAAAUCAGUUUUCUGUUUCUCUGGAGAAUCCUGACAAAGAGUGCAUAUCUGAUAAUUUAAAAAUCAUUUAUUGGAGCUAUUGAAUCUAUUGUAUUCUGUUUUUACUUUUGAAAAUCUUUAGGGCUGGGGGAAUGUACACCUUCUCUCUUUUCCUCUUAAAAAUUAAAGGCUGAUUCAAGGUAGAGGCAACUCACUGUUGUGGUGUCCUUUUAUCCCAACCUCAGCCCCGGUGGAAAGUCUCCGCACCUUGGGACACUGGUGUUUUCCAGGAGUGACUAUCCUGGAGCAGCUGCCUGUUGCGAUGAGGACUGGCGGGGAAUGGUCCCCUCUGAGUCUGGAGUCACUUAUUUGGAAUCCUCCAGCAGAAAGCUUUCUAAGAUGUCACACUAUAAACUCAUUCAUGUGAUUAUUGUAUUUCAGUUCAGAUUCUAUUGCUCUUGCUUCAUUAUUUCAAAGCUGUAUGAUGAUAUCCAUUACUGGGUGCAGAAUGGCCCUGAUGGAUCUAGAGGCACCAUGGUCUGACCCAUCCUGAGAAAUGAUCCAGUCAUGAAAUGCUGGUGCAGAUAUGGAUCGAGCCAGUUAUCUUCACCCUCUGGAAUCAAGACCCUGAAAUCCAGGUGGCCAAGGACUGCAUCGACUCUUUUUUUUUUUUUGAGACGGAAUCUUGCUCUGUCACACUGACUGGAGUACAGAGGCACGAUCUCAGCUCACUGCAACCUCCAACUCACUGGUUCAAGUGAUUCUCCUGCCUCAGCCUCCCGAGUAGCUGGGAUGACAGGCAUGCGCCACCAUGCCCAGCUAAUUUUUGUAUUUUUGGUAGAGAUGGGGUUUCACCAUGUUGGCCAGGAGGGCCUCAAUCUCCUGACCUCAUGAUCUGGCCACCUCAGCCUCCCCUCCCAAAGUGUUGGGAUUACAGGUGUGAGCCGCUGUGUUCAGCCUGCACCAACUCUUACAGACAGGCCAGAGUCCUGUCUAGAAGUCGGGGCACCAGGCCUGGCUGGCACUCUGUUCUCCAGACCACACCGCCCUCCGCAGCCAGGUCCCAGGACCAAGACAUGGGUGGAUUUUUGUUUCUGACUUGCAUUCUGUCCUUUAUGUGAAAUGUGAAUUCUUUGUCCUGAUGUUACUUGUUAGCACUGACAGCGUUCCUGAUCGUGGUACUUAAGCUGCUAUCAAUAAGCUCCAAAGCUUAUCCUUGAUGCUAAUGAUCUCAGAGUUGGAAGAGGCCCUGGCAGGUACCGAGGCCAACCUUGUCUGGUAAGUGCCCUGUGCCCUUGAGACCACCCCAUGCCCUUCAAGGACAGAGACAAAUUAAAAACAGAGGCUUAAUUCUCCUGAUUGAAAAGAAGGGAAGAGAUUUUUCUCUCCUUUUUCUCUGAGCAUGACUCUUUUUUCUUUUUGAGAUGGAGUCUCGCUCUGUCACCCAGGCUGGAGUGCAGUGGCGCAAUCUCGGUUCACCACAACCUCCACCUCCUGGAUUCAAGCGAUUCUCCUGCCUCAGCCUCCCGAGUAGCUGGGAUUACAGAUGUGUGCCACUGUGCCUGGCUAAUUUUUU
rnacentral:lncRNA from 1 species